rnacentral:lncRNA from 1 species
UCUUGCCAAAUCCUCAGAUGUAGUCCAUACCAAACAUUUGACAUUUCUAUCUCACCUUGCGAAUCCAGAAGUAUUGUUCGGUCACUUACCUUCUUAAACCCUUUUCACAGGUAUUGUUAUUUGUACAAAUAAAAUUUGAGUCUUGGUCCGAGUGGGAUAGCAUUUAACUUCUACGUGUCCAUGGGAUCUGUGCAAAUACAAAAUACGGUUUCGAUAUAAUACAGAAUGAGGAUACAAAAAGGAACCAUCCAACUUAAUGCUGCUCUUCGAAUUCCACAAUAUCAAUAGACAAUUAAUGAACCAAAAUGGAAGUGGACGAUAGUGCAGAUUUCUAUCAAAGCAGUGUCAUUUGGAAAUUUUUAUUGCACUUUAUCUGUAUUCUUG